rnacentral:rRNA from 1 species
AACGAACGCUGGCGGCAUGCCUAACACAUGCAAGUCGAACGAGACCUUCGGGUCUAGUGGCGCACGGGUGCGUAACGCGUGGGAAUCUGCCCUUGGGUUCGGAAUAACAGUUAGAAACGACUGCUAAUACCGGAUAAUGUCUUCGGACCAAAGAUUUAUCGCCCAGGGAUGAGCCCGCGUAGGAUUAGCUAGUUGGUGAGGUAAAGGCUCACCAAGGCGACGAUCCUUAGCUGGUCUGAGAGGAUGAUCAGCCACACUGGGACUGAGACACGGCCCAGACUCCUACGGGAGGCAGCAGUGGGGAAUAUUGGACAAUGGGCGAAAGCCUGAUCCAGCAAUGCCGCGUGAGUGAUGAAGGCCUUAGGGUUGUAAAGCUCUUUUACCCGGGUAUGAUAAUGACAGUACCGGGAGAAUAAGCCCCGGCUAACUCCGUGCCAGCAGCCGCGGUAAU